GACGAACGCUGGCGGCGUGCUUAACACAUGCCAGUCGAACGGAAAGGCCCUGCUUUUGUGGGGUGCUCGAGUGGCGCACGGGUGAGUAACACGUGAGUAACCUGCCCUUGACUUUGGGAUAACUUCAGGAAACUGGGGCUAAUACCGGAUAGGAGCUCCUGCUGCAUGGUGGGGGUUGGAAAGUUUCGGCGGUUGGGGAUGGACUCGCGGCUUAUCAGCUUGUUGGUGGGGUAGUGGCUUACCAAGGCUUUGACGGGUAGCCGGCCUGAGAGGGUGACCGGCCACAUUGGGACUGAGAUACGGCCCAGACUCCUACGGGAGGCAGCAGUGGGGAAUAUUGCACAAUGGGCGGAAGCCUGAUGCAGCAACGCCGCGUGCGGGAUGACGGCCUUCGGGUUGUAAACCGCUUUCGCCUGUGACGAAGCGUGAGUGACGGUAAUGGGUAAAGAAGCGCCGGCUAACUACGUG
rnacentral:rRNA from 1 species